rnacentral:misc_RNA from 1 species
UCUCCGUAGGUGAACCUGCGGAGGGAUCAUUACUGAGUGAGGGCCUCCCCGGCCCGACCUCCAACCCUUUGUGAACACAACUUGUUGCUUCGGGGGCGACCCUGCCGUUUCGACGGCGAGCGCCCCCGGAGGCCUUCAAACACUGCAUCUUUGCGUCGGAGUUUAAGUAAAUUUACACAAAACUUUCAACAACGGAUCUCUUGGUUCUGGCAUCGAUGAAGAACGCAGC